rnacentral:rRNA from 1 species
AACGAACGCUGGCGGCAGGCCUAACACAUGCAAGUCGAACGCUGCAGCAAUGCAGAGUGGCAGACGGGUGAGUAACACGUGGGAAUCUUCCUAUCGGUACGGAAUAGCUCAGGGAAACUUGAGGUAAUACCGCAUACGCCCUUCGGGGGAAAGAUUUAUCGCCGAUAGAUGAGCCCGCGUCUGAUUAGCUAGUUGGUGGGGUAAUGGCCUACCAAGGCGACGAUCAGUAGCUGGUCUGAGAGGAUGACCAGCCACACUGGGACUGAGACACGGCCCAGACUCCUACGGGAGGCAGCAGUGGGGAAUAUUGGACAAUGGGCGCAAGCCUGAUCCAGCCAUGCCGCGUGAGUGACGAAGGUCUUCGGAUUGUAAAGCUCUUUUGCCAGGGACGAUAAUGACGGUACCUGGAGAAUAAGCCCCGGCUAACUUCGUGCCAGCAGCCGCGGUAAUAC